UGGGCCACGUCAGCAAGAACAACUAAAUGCUUGCAACAAGGGGAUUCUCACCAGGGAGGUGACACUGAGUUGGGUUUUGAGGAAAUCCUCUUACUACAUGGAAAAGGGAAAUAAAAGGACAACAGGUGGAAGGACUAGGUGUGCACAGCCUUGGAAUCAUGCAGAAGCAGGAUGUGCCCGCGAAGACGAGGUGAUGAGGACAGAUGAAGGGGAAGGAGAGAGGGGAUGACCGUGGUCAAGCCAGACAGAUGAGACAGAGCUGUGCCAGAAGAAGAAAGAAAACGAUGAUGGACACAGAAGCCUGGGCCUUAGCCAGGGGAUGGCAGCCAGGAAGAGUGGCCCCUCUUUCCCCACUCAACCCAGUGCCCUCCAGGCCCAGCCCUCUAGCCCCGUGGCCUCCCUACAGCUGGAAGUCCCCCUCCCCAGGCUGCUCACCUAGGCAAGGGAGGGCAAAAGGUGGUGCAUGGUCUCUGGUGGGGAGAAAGCAAGCAGGCUGCCUGGGGCCUGUCCCCGACCCUUCCCCAGGGCAGCCUGGAAUGGCCAUUACAGGGCCACUUCUUGCGGCACCACGAGCCAUUAAAGCAGGAGAGCUCAGGGAGCCAUCAUCCCAGCACAGAUGACUUCCCCAGAUGUGGCAGCGGGCAGGAUGUGGAAGCCCCCAGCCCCAACUCGACAGACAAAACAUUCCCGCACUAACCAUCCUCAGAAACCCCAGAGCCCAGAGCCCCUCUUACAGAUGCUUUCUAGACCAUUUAGCAGGAGGCAGUGUUUAUUUUUGAACAUAUGUUCUUCCCCAUCGCUCCCUUUCCUUCUCCCUUCCUGGUCCUUCCAUACCCAAAGCUACCCACCGGAUGGGCUGCUGUGGUCAUUACUGCCGAGUUCCAAGGCCAGCAUGGGUACAUGCUUUGUUUUGGCUUUGUUGAGUGCCUAAGUGUGUGCAUGCAGUCACGGCUGCACACGCAUGCAUACACACUCCUACUUGCCCAAGCCUCCAUUUGUGGAUGGCCGGCUUUCAGAGGUUGUCUAAGUUUGUGAGCAAAUCCUAAACCAAGCCAUGUGUUUCUUCUUUUCCAAAAUGUGUACCUGAAUCAGAGAUGGUUCCCAGGCAUUACAUACCUAUUUGGAGGGUGAGCUCAGGCAUAG